CACUCCUGCAGGUUUCAGUUACUUUGGAUGUUAGGACUAGGGUAGGCUUUGGCCUCAUUUUCCCCUCUGGGCUCCCCAUGACUUUGAGGGGUAUCUUUCUUACUGUUGCUUCCUGGCUUGAUCCAAAUGCCAAUGUAGGCUUACUUUGGCUUUCUGCUGUUUCUCUGAGGCUCUUAAUGAGUCCACUUUGCUGUUUGCCAGCCGGUUCACUUUGUCAUCUCCUCUCUGCCAGUGUUGAUGCCUUUAACAAGGCAGAGUGAGAUGUGAUUCUCCAAGAGACCCUUCCAGUCAUUUACUUCUGAAUCCCCUUAAGGGAGUGUUGGAGGUGCAGGGUUUCACUGGGAAAAGCAAUAUGCCACUAGACUGGAUGCUGCUGCUUUAAACUGGCAUUGAUUCCAGUUCCUUUGAUUUGGAGAAUGACACCCCACCCCCACCUCAUCCCACCUUCCUCUUCACAACUUCAGAAACCUGGAGUUCUGCCAAAGCCAGAGAUGGAAAUGGGUCUGUGAUGGACAGGACCGAGGUUAGUGGAACAGUCUGGGCUGCCUCCUGAUGACCACUCCAGCUUAAAAACUCUUGGACUAGACUUGCUUUCACACGAACCUUGUUAGAUUUAUCAUCUGCUGAUUCCUUUAACGAUCUGGCCUGGGCUUGCAGGCGCCAUCUUGGGGUGUUGUCCGCCCGCUCAAUCCUACAAUGAAAGGGACCUUCACCCGCUCCUUUCGAGCCCUGCCUUGCCCCCAGCGCAGUCGGUGACCGGGGGCCAGCCUCCCAGCCACGCGCCUCCUCCUUACCUGGCUCCUUCGGCGUAGUCUUCGCCGCGGCGGGCCGUCCAGGGCGUUGGCGGGUGAAGUUGGGGCCACCGCGCGGCGGGGGCUCCGCACACGGAGGACGGCCCACGGAUCGGCGAUAUCGGCCUAGGCGGGCAUUCAGGAUUAGGCUUAAGGAUCGCCCAAAGCGGCUGGCACCAGAUGCAGAUGUGCUACCCGUCCGCCGGCUCCCUAACAAUCAACAAACCAAAUGGUUUUUGCUCUUUGCCAAAACAGAGAUUCGAACCAGCACCAGCAAAAGGAUCUAGGAGAAAAGCAAUUUAGCCACAGCUCAAGCUGGCAAAGUGCUCCCAACCUAGGCGAAUGGGAAAAGAUCGUGGAGUCAAGGUAACAAGCAAUUAUCAAGUGCCUCCGGUAUACCAAGUACUGGGGAUAGGAAGAAAGGCAAAAGAUAGGCCAUGACUUCAAGGAGCUCCCAGUUUAAUGCGGAGAAAAUAUGUAAAUAACUAUGUCAAGCCAAUAUAUAGACGAGAAUUUAGAGAUAGUCACUGAGAGAAGGCACUGGCAGUAAUGGAAAUGGAG
rnacentral:lncRNA from 1 species